ACGGAAGGCAGCAGUGGGGAAUAUUGCACAAUGGGGGAAACCCUGAUGCAGCGACGCCGCGUGAGCGAAGAAGUAUUUCGGUAUGUAAAGCUCUAUCAGCAGGGAAGAAAAUGACGGUACCUGACUAAGAAGCUCCGGCUAAAUACGUGCCAGCAGCCGCGGUAAUACGUACGGAGCAAGCGUUAUCCGGAUUUACUGGGUGUAAAGGGAGCGUAGACGGGACAGCAAGUCUGAUGUGAAAGGCGGGGGCUCAACCCCUGGACUGCAUUGGAAACUGUUGACCUUGAGUGCCGGAGAGGUAAGCGGAAUUCCUAGUGUAGCGGUGAAAUGCGUAGAUAUUAGGAGGAACACCAGUGGCGAAGGCGGCUUACUGGACGGUAACUGACGUUGAGGCUCGAAAGCGUGGGGAGCAAACAGGAUUAGAUACCCUGGUA
rnacentral:rRNA from 1 species